rnacentral:lncRNA from 1 species
UACUAGAUUUUGACCCGCGCUUUGAAAGUGCGAGAUUUUUCUUUUCGGUUCUACUUCGAUUGUUGUUUUAAGUUUUUAGGUUAAAGAGAUAAAACUGUUUGAUUAUGUAUAGAUUUGGCUCAAAUUAUUUGACCUGAUUAGUUUUUGAUAUUUGGUACAUUGAUUCCGUUCUUGGUUUAGUUCUAAUUUAGUUUAAUUUUUCAUGUUCUACAAAUAUAUAAAUCAAAGCGCAGGAUUUUUUUUGUCAUAAUUUUUUUUUAGAUUAAAAAGAUAUAAAAACCAUUCGAUUAUAUAUAGAUUUGGCUCAAAUUAUUUGACGUGAUUAGUUUUUGAUAUUUGGUACAUUGAUUCGGUUUUGGUUUAGUUAUAAUUUAGUUCAAUUUUUCAUGUUCUAUAAAUAUAUAAUUCAUUCUGAUUUAUAUGAACAUUUUUUCUUCUUUACUUUUGUAUUUUGAGUUUGGUAUGUUUUAGUUUGGUUCGAUUUAUAUGUGGAGGUUUAAAUUUAUUUAAAAAAACUUGUCUUGCAUUUGACUCAUAACCAGUGUUUUUGAAACCCGACCCGGAUCUGCCGCGAUUGAACCGGUAAACCCGGUGACCCAGAAAAAGUCUGGUUUGGGUUUUGUGAAAAAUUAAUAUUUAGAAACCCGCAAAAAUCCAGUAAAACCUAGAACUCGAUACCGGUUGAACCACCAGGUGAACCAAUAAAUAACUUUUUUUUCUUUUUUUUUAGUUUUAAAUUAUGUUUUUAGAUUAUGUUUUAUAUUUUCAGUUUCCAAUUAAAAAGUUAGGUGCUGACAAAAAAAAAAAUUAGGUUUUCCCUUUUCAGUUUUAUAUUUGUGAUUUUUAGAUUUUGAUGAAGAUUUCACUAUAUCACCUGAAGAAAAUGAAAUGAAAGAUGGUAGAGAGAACCAAAAUUAGUUGAUGUGAUUUGGUGUUAGUUUAUUUCCGUUAUUGACAAUUAUUACAAUGAUUUUUUACUUUUAGUUUAUUUUGUAUUUGAAGUUUAAUUUAUUAUUUACAUUAGACAUUUAAAUAUUUAUAAAUUUUAUGUCUUGAUAUUUUAAAGAUAUCAUAA